rnacentral:rRNA from 1 species
GAUCAUUAAUGAAGCAGCUCACACCUGCUCGAGUCCCUCUCGUCCAACAAACACCCAAAAGAGGGACUCGUCACACCCCAUGUCUACCGAUCUUUGUUGCUUUGGCGGGCCGCGUCAAGCUACCGGCCGCGGCUGGUACGUGCCCGCCAGAGGCCCCUAACCCGUGAACUUCGGCCGUCUGAGCACUUAUAGAAUAGUUAAAACUUUCAACAACGGAUCUCUUGGUUCUGGCAUCGAUGAAGAACGCAGCGAAAUGCGAUAAGUAAUGUGAAUUGCAGAAUUUAGUGAAUCAUCGAAUCUUUGAACGCACAUUGCGCCCGGUGGUAUCCCGCCGGGCAUGCCUGUUCGAGCGUCAUAAUGACCAAAUCACGCCUCCUCGGCGUGGUCUUGGGGCUGGCCGCCGGCCUCCCCUAAAAGCAGUCGGCAGCGCCGCGAGGCUCCAAGCGUAGUAACACUCCCGCUAUGGACGUCCCGCGGCCGCAUGCCAGCGACCCCCAACUCGUCUAGGGUUGACCUCGGAUCAGGUAGGGAUACCCGCUGAACUUAAGCAUAUCAAUAAGCGGAGGAAAAGAAACCAACAGGGAUUGCCUCAGUAACGGCGAGUGAAGCGGCAACAGCUCAAAUUUGAAAGCUGGCUCGUUUCGGGCCCGCGUUGUAAUUUGUAGAAGAUGCUUCGGGUCGCGGCCCAGUCUAAGUUCCUUGGAACAGGACGUCAUGGAGGGUGAGAAUCCCGUAUGUGACUGGUCCCGUGGCCCGUGUGAAGCUCUUUCGACGAGUCGAGUUGUUUGGGAAUGCAGCUCUAAAUGGGUGGUAUAUUUCAUCUAAAGCUAAAUAUUGGCCAGAGACCGAUAGCGCACAAGUAGAGUGAUCGAAAGAUGAAAAGCACUUUGGAAAGAGAGUUAAAUAGUACGUGAAAUUGUUGAAAGGGAAGCGCUUGCAACCAGACUUGCGGGCCGCCGAUCAUCCCGGGUUCUCCCGGGUGCACUCGGCGGCUCUCGGGCCAGCAUCGGUUCCGGGGGUGGGACAAAGGCCUUGGGAAUGUGGCUCCUCUCGGGGAGUGUUAUAGCCCUCGGUGCAAUGCCGCCACCUGGGACCGAGGACCGCGCU